rnacentral:rRNA from 1 species
UGGCAUCCAUAGCAUAGUGGAUCCACUCCGAUCCAUCUCGAACUCGGUUGUGAAACGCUAUUGCGGCGAUAAUACUGAAGGGGCAGCCCUUUGGAAAAGUAGCUCGAUGCCAAAGC